UACGUAGGGUGCAAGCGUUGUCCGGAAUUAUUGGGCGUAAAGGGCUCGUAGGCGGUUUGUCGCGUCGGGAGUGAAAUCCACUGGCUUAACUGGUGGCUUGCUUUCGAUACGGGCAGACUGGAGGUAUGCAGGGGAGAACGGAAUUCCUGGUGUAGCGGUGAAAUGCGCAGAUAUCAGGAGGAACACCGGUGGCGAAGGCGGUUCUCUGGAACGGUACUGACGCUGAGACGCGAAAGCGUGGGGAGCGAACAGG
rnacentral:rRNA from 1 species